rnacentral:lncRNA from 1 species
GCACAUUUAACAACAAUUAUUCACAUUCUCGACUCCAUCAUAUUAUUAUGUCAUAUUAAAAUAGACUUUAUAAGCUUUCAUCUCUCUUUCGUUUCACUCGAUUCCGACUUACGGAUCAAAAGAUAUGUCCAAAACCGUUUUCUGACUCUGCUCUCAACAUAUAAUACCUUACACCGAUAGCAGACAACACAUUACACAUUAAGUCUCCCAUCCCAAUUGAUGUCAAAUCAACUCUUGGGUUAAAAAUGAUUUUUCGGGAAUUUUCUGGAAAUUUUUAAACAUUUUUCGGAAUUAAAAUCGAUAAAAGAAUCACUUUUCGGAUAAAUAAUCAAGUCCCAAAUACUUGAAAUUGGACUUGAAAUCAUUCAUAAACAAUUAUC